rnacentral:rRNA from 1 species
UUGAACGCUGGCGGCAGGCCUAACACAUGCAAGUCGAACGGUAACAGAAAGCAGCUUGCUGCUUUGCUGACGAGUGGCGGACGGGUGAGUAAUGUCUGGGAAACUGCCUGAUGGAGGGGGAUAACUACUGGAAACGGUAGCUAAUACCGCAUAACGUCGCAAGACCAAAGAGGGGGACCUUAGGGCCUCUUGCCAUCGGAUGUGCCCAGAUGGGAUUAGCUAGUAGGUGGGGUAAAGGCUCACCUAGGCGACGAUCCCUAGCUGGUCUGAGAGGAUGACCAGCCACACUGGAACUGAGACACGGUCCAGACUCCUACGGGAGGCAGCAGUGGGGAAUAUUGCACAAUGGGCGCAAGCCUGAUGCAGCCAUGCCGCGUGUAUGAAGAAGGCCUUCGGGUUGUAAAGUACUUUCAGCGGGGAGGAAGGGAGUAAAGUUAAUACCUUUGCUCAUUGACGUUACCCGCAGAAGAAGCACCGGCUAACUCCGUGCCAGCAGCCGCGGUAAUACGGAGGGUGCAAGCGUUAAUCGGAAUUACUGGGCGUAAAGCGCACGCAGGCGGUUUGUUAAGUCAGAUGUGAAAUCCCCGGGCUCAACCUGGGAACUGCAUCUGAUACUGGCAAGCUUGAGUCUCGUAGAGGGGGGUAGAAUUCCAGGUGUAGCGGUGAAAUGCGUAGAGAUCUGGAGGAAUACCGGUGGCGAAGGCGGCCCCCUGGACGAAGACUGACGCUCAGGUGCGAAAGCGUGGGGGGCAAACAGGAUUAGAUACCCUGGUAGUCCACGCCGUAAACGAUGUCGACUUGGAGGUUGUGCCCUUGAGGCGUGGCUUCCGGAGCUAACGCGUUAAGUCGACCGCCUGGGGAGUACGGCCGCAAGGUUAAAACUCAAAUGAAUUGACGGGGGCCCGCACAAGCGGUGGAGCAUGUGGUUUAAUUCGAUGCAACGCGAAGAACCUUACCUGGUCUUGACAUCCACGGAAGUUUUCAGAGAUGAGAAUGUGCCUUCGGGAACCGUGAGACAGGUGCUGCAUGGCUGUCGUCAGCUCGUGUUGUGAAAUGUUGGGUUAAGUCCCGCAACGAGCGCAACCCUUAUCCUUUGUUGCCAGCGGUCCGGCCGGGAACUCAAAGGAGACUGCCAGUGAUAAACUGGAGGAAGGUGGGGAUGACGUCAAGUCAUCAUGGCCCUUACGACCAGGGCUACACACGUGCUACAAUGGCGCAUACAAAGAGAAGCGACCUCGCGAGAGCAAGCGGACCUCAUAAAGUGCGUCGUAGUCCGGAUUGGAGUCUGCAACUCGACUCCAUGAAGUCGGAAUCGCUAGUAAUCGUGGAUCAGAAUGCCACGGUGAAUACGUUCCCGGGCCUUGUACACACCGCCCGUCACACCAUGGGAGUGGGUUGCAAAAGAAGUAGGUAGCUUAACCUUCGGGAGGGCGCUUACCACUUUGUGAUUCAUGACUGGGGUG